GCGCGAAAACUUCGCACUGUGCGAAAGCACGACGAGGGAAUCCCAAGUGUAUGCACUUUUUGUGUAUACUGUUUCUCUGUCUAAAAAGCAGGGAGAGUAAGAGCUGGGUAAGACGGGUGCCAGCCGCCGCGGUAAUACCUGCAGCUCGAGUGGUGAUCGUUAUUAUUGGGCCUAAAACGUCCGUAGCCGGUCUUGUAAAUGCCUGGGUAAAUCGUAUGGCUUAACCAUACGAAUUCUGGGUAGACUGUUAGACUUGAGACCGGGAGAAGCUAGAGGUACUCCUGGGGUAGAGGUGAAAUUCUGUAAUCCUAGGGGGACGACCAGUGGCGAAGGCGUCUAGCUAGAACGGGUCUGACGGUGAGGGACGAAGCCCUGGGGCGCAAACGGGAUUAGGAUACCCCGGUAGUCCAGGGUGUAAACGCUGCUUGCUUGAUGUUAGUCGAGCUCCGAGCUCGAUUAGUGUCGGAGAGAAGUUGUUAAGCAAGCUGCCUGGGAAGUACGGCCGCAAGACUGAAAACUUAAGGAAUUGGCGGGGG
rnacentral:rRNA from 1 species